CCCCGGGUUUUCCCCACAG
rnacentral:miRNA from 1 species